CACGUAGGGGCCAAGCGUUGUCCGGAUUUAUUGGGCGUAAAGAGCUCGUAGGCGGUUCGACAAGUCGGGUGUGAAAACUCCGGGCUCAACCCGGAGACGCCACCCGAUACUGUCGUGACUCGAGUCCGGUAGGGGAGUGGGGAAUUCCUGGUGUAGCGGUGAAAUGCGCAGAUAUCAGGAGGAACACCGGUGGCGAAGGCGCCACUCUGGGCCGGUACUGACGCUGAGGAGCGAAAGCGUGGGUAGCAAA
rnacentral:rRNA from 1 species